GGGGCCGACCCGGUUUCGACGUGGAUAGCAAAGCAGACAGGUGCAUGCCGAGCCCCAGUACGCUCGAUAAAACACUGGAAACUAAGUAACUGCGAACGAUUCUUCGUACGCCCUCGCCGCUUAAUACCGGUGAGCCUCGCAACGGUUGGCCGAUGGGCCGGGGUGGCAACACCUGCGAGGUCAUACACAUUGGCUCGAGUUGAAUUUCGCCACGCGAUUCAGCCCUAAACUCAGUGGAUCGCCCCAAAUGAAGCGCGUACACCCGCGUCAUAGGGGUUAAAACCAAAAGGCGUUACUAAGCACGUAGAUCCUGCUGUGGAGUAUUUGCGGACGGGGGUUCAAUUCCCCCCGGCUCCACCA
rfam:Thiomonas bhubaneswarensis strain DSM 18181 genome assembly, contig: Ga0061069_108